rnacentral:pre_miRNA from 1 species
CAGGGCGCCGGCGGGGUGAGGUAGUAGGUUGUGUGGUUUCAGGGCAGUGAUGUUGCCCCCUCAGAAGAUAACUAUACAACCUACUGCCUUCCCUGAGGAGCCCAG